rnacentral:rRNA from 1 species
UACGUAGGGGGCAAGCGUUGUCCGGAUUUACUGGGCGUAAAGAGCGCGCAGGCGGUCGUUCAAGUCGAGUGUGAAAGCCCCCGGCUCAACUGGGGAGGGUCACUUGAUACUGAUCGACUCGAAGGCAGGAGAGGGAAGCGGAAUUCCCGGUGUAGUGGUGAAAUGCGUAGAUAUCGGGAGGAACACCAGUGGCGAAGGCGGCUUCCUGGCCUGUUCUGACGCUGAGGAACGAAAGCUAGGGGAGCAAACGGG